rnacentral:rRNA from 1 species
AACGAACGCUGGCGGCAGGCCUAACACAUGCAAGUCGAGCGCGCCCUUCGGGGUGAGCGGCGGACGGGUGAGUAACGCGUGGGAACGUGCCCUUCUCUGCGGAAUAGCCUCGGGAAACUGAGAGUAAUACCGCAUACGCCCUUUGGGGGAAAGAUUUAUCGGAGAAGGAUCGGCCCGCGUUGGAUUAGGUAGUUGGUGGGGUAAUGGCCCACCAAGCCGACGAUCCAUAGCUGGUUUGAGAGGAUGAUCAGCCACACUGGGACUGAGACACGGCCCAGCCUCCUACGGGAGGCAGCAGUGGGGAAUCUUAGACAAUGGGGGCAACCCUGAUCUAGCCAUGCCGCGUGAGUGAUGAAGGCCUUAGGGUUGUAAAGCUCUUUCAGCUGGGAAGACAAUGACGGUACCAGCAGAAGAAGCCCCGGCUAACUCCGUG